rnacentral:rRNA from 1 species
GUCGAACGGUAACAGGAAGCAGCUUGCUGCUUCGCUGACGAGUGGCGGACGGGUGAGUAAUGUCUGGGAAACUGCCUGAUGGAGGGGGAUAACUACUGGAAACGGUGGCUAAUACCGCAUAACGUCGCAAGACCAAAGAGGGGGACCUUCGGGCCUCUUGCCAUCGGAUGUGCCCAGAUGGGAUUAGCUAGUAGGUGGGGUAACGGCUCACCUAGGCGACGAUCCCUAGCUGGUCUGAGAGGAUGACCAGCCACACUGGAACUGAGACACGGUCCAGACUCCUACGGGAGGCAGCAGUGGGGAAUAUUGCACAAUGGGCGCAAGCCUGAUGCAGCCAUGCCGCGUGUAUGAAGAAGGCCUUCGGGUUGUAAAGUACUUUCAGCGGGGAGGAAGGUGUUGAGGUUAAUAACCUCAGCAAUUGACGUUACCCGCAGAAGAAGCACCGGCUAACUCCGUGCCAGCAGCCGCGGUAAUACGGAGGGUGCAAGCGUUAAUCGGAAUUACUGGGCGUAAAGCGCACGCAGGCGGUCUGUCAAGUCGGAUGUGAAAUCCCCGGGCUCAACCUGGGAACUGCAUUCGAAACUGGCAGGCUAGAGUCUUGUAGAGGGGGGUAGAAUUCCAGGUGUAGCGGUGAAAUGCGUAGAGAUCUGGAGGAAUACCGGUGGCGAAGGCGGCCCCCUGGACAAAGACUGACGCUCAGGUGCGAAAGCGUGGGAGCAAACAGGAUUAGAUACCCUGGUAGUCCACGCCGUAAACGAUGUCUACUUGGAGGUUGUGCCCUUGAGGCGUGGCUUCCGGAGCUAACGCGUUAAGUAGACCGCCUGGGGAGUACGGCCGCAAGGUUAAAACUCAAAUGAAUUGACGGGGGCCCGCACAAGCGGUGGAGCAUGUGGUUUAAUUCGAUGCAACGCGAAGAACCUUACCUGCUCUUGACAUCCACAGAACUUAUCAGAGAUG